UGGGGAAUUUUGGACAAUGGGCGAAAGCCUGAUCCAGCAAUGCCGCGUGUGUGAAGAAGGCCUUCGGGUUGUAAAGCACUUUUGUCCGGAAAGAAAUGGCUCUGGUUAAUACCUGGGGUCGAUGACGGUACCGGAAGAAUAAGGACCGGCUAACUACGUGCCAGCAGCCGCGGUAAUACGUAGGGUCCAAGCGUUAAUCGGAAUUACUGGGCGUAAAGCGUGCGCAGGCGGUUGUGCAAGACCGAUGUGAAAUCCCCGAGCUUAACUUGGGAAUUGCAUUGGUGACUGCACGGCUAGAGUGUGUCAGAGGGGGGUAGAAUUCCACGUGUAGCAGUGAAAUGCGUAGAGAUGUGGAGGAAUACCGAUGGCGAAGGCAGCCCCCUGGGCCAAUACUGACGCUCAUGCACGAAAGCGUGGGGAGCAAACAGGAUUAGAUACCCUGGUAGUCCACGCCCUAAACGAUGUCAACUAGUUGUUGGGGAUUCAUUUCCUUAGUAACGUAGCUAACGCGUGAAGUUGACCGCCUGGGGAGUACGGUCGCAAGAUUAAAACUCAAAGGAAUUGACGGGGUCAUAGCUGUUUCCU
rnacentral:rRNA from 1 species